GGGUCAGUAGGUUGGUCGUGCCACCGGUACGUACUGGUCUCACUGAUUCCUCCUUCCUGAAGAACCGUAAUGCCAUUAAUUUGGUGUUGCGGGGAAACAGGACUGUUACUUUGAAAAAAUUAGGGUGUUUAAAGCAAGCUAACGCUUGAAUACAUUAGCAUGGAAUAAUGAAAUAGGACGAUCGAUCCUAUUUUGUUGGUUUCUAAGAUUGACGUA
rnacentral:rRNA from 1 species